AGCAGAUCCAUGUAACCGUGACCCUUCUUCUGGAUGUGAUUGCACAGACAAUGGCAGCAGUGGGAAUCACAGCUAAGAAAACUGCCUGGGAAAAGUAAAACACAUCAGCAAGCUUAAGGGGUGGUCCAUGCAUCAGCAGUGGCAGCAGAACCCAGGACCUUGUUAGUGACACAGCAUGUCAGGACUCACUUAGACCUACUGAACAGCUGGCAUCAAGACUUUUAUAUUGGAGGAGCCAAGAUGGCCGAAUAGGAACAGCUCCGGUCUACAGCUCCCAGCGUGAGCGACGCAGAAGAGGGUGAUUUCUGCAUUUCCAUCUGAGGUACCGGGUUCAUCUCACUAGAGAGUGCCAGACAGUGGGUGCAGGUCAGUGGGUGCGCGCACCGUGCGCGACCCGAAGCAGGGCGAGGCAUUGCCUCACUCGGGAAGCGCAAGGAGUCAGGGAGUUCCCUUUCCGAGUCAAAGAAAGGGGUGAUGGGCAGCACCUGGAAAAUCGGGUCACUCCCACCCGAAUACUGCG
rnacentral:lncRNA from 10 species